rnacentral:rRNA from 1 species
CCUACGGGCGGCAGCAGUCGAGAAUUAUUCACAAUGGGGGAAACCCUGAUGGUGCGACGCCGCGUGGGGGAAUGAAGUUCUUCGGAUUGUAAACCCCUGUCAUGUGGGAGCAAAUUAAAAAGAUAGUACCCCAAGAGGAAGAGACGGCUAACUCUGUGCCAGCAGCCGCGGUAAUACAGAGGUCUCAAGCGUUGUUCGGAAUCACUGGGCGUAAAGCGUGCGUAGGCUGUUUAGUAAGUCGUGUGUGAAAGGCGCGGGCUCAACCCGCGGACGGCACAUGAUACUGCGAGACUAGAGUAAUGGAGGGGGAACCGGAAUUCUCGGUGUAGCAGUGAAAUGCGUAGAUAUCGAGAGGAACACUCGUGGCGAAGGCGGGUUCCUGGACAGUAACUGACGCUGAGGCACGAAGGCCAGGGGAGCGAAAGGGAUUAGAUACCCUUGUAGUC